UGGGCGUAAAGCGCAUGCAGGUGGUUUGUUAAGUCAGAUGUGAAAGACCCGGGGCGUCAACCUCGGAAUAAGCAUUUGUAAACUAGGCAGACUAGAGUACUGUAGAGGGGGGUAGGAAUUUCAGGUGUAGCGGUGAAAUAGCGUAGAGAUCUGAAGGAAUACCGGUGGCGAAGGCGGCCCCCUCGGACAGAUACUGACACUCAGAUGCGAAAGCGUGGGGAGCAAACAGGAUUAGAUACCCUGGUAG
rnacentral:rRNA from 1 species